UACGAAGGGGGCUAGCGUUGCUCGGAAUCACUGGGCGUAAAGGGUGCGUAGGCGGAUUGUAAGUCAGGGGUGAAAUCCCAGGCUCAACCUGGGAACUGCGCUCGAAACUGUGGGUCUUGAGUGUCGGAGAGGAUGGCGGAAUUCCUGGUGUAGAGGUGAAAAUUCGUAGAUAUCAGGAGGAACACCGGUGGCGAAGGCGGCCAUCUGGACGACACUGACGUGAGAUGACGAAAGCGUGGGGGAGCAAACAGG
rnacentral:rRNA from 1 species